AACUGUUUUGUAAGCGACUGACACUGCGGGCUCUCCCCUACAUGGACCGAAAAUAUCGCAUUUUAUCGAAAGAGAAUCCUGCAGAAAUGUCACGGCACCUGGUAUAUUCCAGCAGAGGUUUGAAAUUUCUAUCAGUUCAAAUGCAGCUGACAUGGGAAACUGUGCUUGUACAGCUACAGCUUUAAUGACGAUGGUUAUCAACGCUCAAGAAUAUUCUACCUUGUGCGACACCUUGUGCAGCUGCCACACAUUUCCUUGUAAAUAGAUAACAAGAAUUUGGUGUUGGAUGAAGACAACAACAUACACCUGGUAACUUUGAAUCUUCUCAUCACCUCUUGGCUGGAUAAUGUAUGGAAAUGAUACAGAGGAGUUACAUGUCAAUCUCUUCUGGGAAUUAGGUUUAAAAGCGAGCAAGGAAAUCUAGACAGGUCUGUCAAAUGGACUGUUUUAUUUUGCACAGUCAUUCUAUAGGGUUAGAGAAAUAUGGGCAGAGUCAGUUAGUCUUGUGGUACUCCUUGGAGAGACUUGUCCCCUACACCCAGGUUGAAGAGUCAAAGAGGGGUUGUGGCUGCUUGCAGCUGUUUAAUUCUUAUCAUUGCCCAAAAACACCAGUUCAGUACAACAAUUAAGCUACUACCAUGCCAUUUGUAGUAUAUAAUUAGUUAUUUUGAUUAAAUAUGCUUUGAUGUC